rnacentral:sRNA from 1 species
AGAGAACUCAGUAUUCCUAUUUUUUUAUUUCGUCUAUUACCAGUUACUAGAAUAUAAUGCCUUUGUGAUAUUUUUAUUUGUUUUCUGUCAAUUUAUUGCAUGCAGUUUUUACUGUGUGCUGGUGUGUAUGUUAUAUAUACACUAUAUAUACAUUGUAUGGAUGCUUAUUAAAAUGGGUAUAAUAUGAAUGUAAAGGUUUGUAUACUUUUUUUUAAGUUGUCCAUAGAGUUUGCUUAGUAUGUUUGCUAAAUAUAAGCUUAUUUUUGCAAUGAAACGCAUGUUUAAAAAAAAUACGAGAACUUAUUGUCAUGAAGCUUUUACAUAGGUAUUGUUUGUUUCAAAAACACUUUGUCUAUCUCUUGUUUAAAGACGUGGGUCUAGCGCUUUGUUUCUUCCUUCUAAAUGAAGGGAUUCUGUAGGGUUCGAAACACUUCAAAAUAAGUGUUUUAGACAUAUACAGUGUAUAAACUU